rnacentral:tRNA from 1 species
UUUCUAUUACUUUAAGUAAAAGAGUGAAUUGCAAAUUCAACAUUAGAUUAACAUACUAUAGAAUU